CCCGCUUCAUUUUUACCCUACAUUUGAUCUUCAUGAAAUCCACGUGUUUUUGUGUUUAACUUUUGAGAGCGAAAUGCGGUGAAAUGGAAUUCGUACCGAUAAUUAUUAACGUAUAAAUCACCAAUCAAUAGCAUCCAACAGUUUAUUUUUGCUUCUUUUCUUUGUUCUAAUGUUCUUUCAAGUGUCUAAUUAAGUGUUCGUGGUACAAAGUGCUUCCUCGAUAAAUGACGAUGGAUCAUGAAGUUGUUGAGGAGGGCUGUAAAAACUGCAGCGCUCUACGAAAUGAAAUUGAAAAGAGAAAUACGCAAAUGGAAAAAAACAAUGCACAACAAUUAGCUGGUUUCUUAACUCUGAAACAGAAAAUAAUUGGAACUGAUAAACUUAUUCGUGAAUAUCAAGCCUCCAAAGUGGAACGGGAUAUACUCACUAGGAAAAAUGAAGAGUUUGUUCACCUUAUAGAUCAGCUUCAUCGUGAUUUGAGUAUUCGUAAUCAGGAGUAUACACAGCUUUGUGCCAGUGCUGAGCAGUUAAAAAAGGAAAAUUCUGAAUAUGAAGUAAAAGUGAAACAAUUGUGUGAUGAAGCUCAAAGAUGGAAAUUUCAAGCCGAAGCAGGGCAAAACUUUACUUCCCAGCUUGUUGAAAAAGUUAAGAUUCUGGAGAAGUAUGAAGAGGAGGCAAAGCAUAGUGCCACAGUAUCCAGAGAGCAUGAAAAAAUAGAAAGCAGACUACAAGUCUUAAAAGGUCAGCUAAAAGACGUUAGAGAAACGGCCACCAAAUCCAAAAAGGAAUUAACUAAAAUGCAAAAGGACUACAAACAGCUUAUGAAAUAUUCAAAACAAUGGGGCAGGCUUGCAGAAUCCCAAGGGAAACUUAAUGCCUUACAAAAACGGUUUUUCAUAAAAUUGUGUAACAAAGAGGAUCAAGAAUCCGUUGAAGAUGUGGAUCCGGAAACUAUGGAGGCAAGCGAAAUUGAUGAACAAUCGAAGUUACUCGAACAUUUGUUGGACGAUGAGAAUGUAUCUGAAUCUAUGACAACGCCAAUGGAUACUCUCCAGAAUGACGUGGUGAAGUCGGGAGGAAAUUUGUCGUCUCCUUCAAAAGGAAGAGGGAAAUCUCCUGGCAACUCACUUUUUAUUAAACAGACUGAGCAAACUCCCGUCACAACUCAAAGAAGGCGCGGCCAGAAUUGUGGGACAUCUUCAAAGAUACCAUCACCGAAUAAGACCCCGCUAGAUACCCGAAUGACACGCGCACGGACUCGAACAGCUUCUCAGAAUUCCAUUUCACUGAGCUCAGAUGCAGACAAUGCAUUAGAAUCAGAAAAAGUAAACAGCAAACGCUCUGGGUUCGGUACUCGUUCACGAGCUGUAAAGAUAACGCAGUUACCAGGUUCGAAAAGCCCCAAGCUUUUCGACACGCCUGAUCCUAAAUCUAUUACCCAGUCUACUUUACCGGAAUCAGUUGAUGAUAUGCCAUGCCGAUCUCUCGUGUCGAUGGAAACCGUGUUGAUGACAGAGCCAACAAUUGUGCAAGACGAUUUCCGAAAGAAAGAUUUACAUGAAUCUUUAAGCUCUUCAGAAUCUGAGGCAGAGCUUCCUGAUCCUCUAAAACUAUUUGAAGAUAACAGAACUGUUGCCAAAAUAUCGACAACAUCAACCACUGAAUCCAUCGUGGGAGUCAAACCGCUAAUCAAUUUAUUUGAACCAGACAUUUCUGAUGAUACGUCAAAAGAGCAAAAUGGUAAAACAGCAAAGCAAGUGGAUCAGUAUGUGGCAAAAGAACAGUCGGAAUUUAAAACGUCAGUCAACCCUUCUGCCUUGUUCGACUUUGAUUUUGAUAGUUCUUCGGAUUCCGAUCUCGAUAUGAUUCCUGUACCAACAUGUAAAUUGUCAAUGGUGACCAAAAAUGAUGAUAGAAAUAUUUUACUGAAUACCAUCCCAUCGCUAACAACGGCAUCCUCGGAUAUCGCUGAAAAAACUAUUAGCGACCCUAAGGAAAAGCCUGCAAUAAGAGAGUUGCCAAGCAGCCCUGUCUCAGGAACGGAUACCACCAGUAAUGCAUCUAGAAGCAUCUUCGCGUUAGAGAAAAAUCUUGAUAUGGAUUCGCCGACACAAGAUUCAAAUGCGACGUGUCUUCAAGAGAAAAUGUCUGAAUUUCCCCAGCUAGAAGUUGCCGUUCCUGUUACCAUUUCUUUGGAUGAAGAGCAAAACACCGUCCAUCCUGAAAGCGCAGAUAUUCAAGCUUCAAAGAGCAAUCAUGGCACCGUUAUAAGUAUGGAUGUGACUGGAAAACUUCAUGACGAAACACUAGUAGUAGAAUCGAAUCAUGACCAAAAACUGCUUGUUGCUUCCGAGAAAAACGUAGAAGAAUCUGCAGGUAUGAUAAUGGGGAUCUCCUCUGAGAAGCUUGACGAUUCAAGUUCUGUGCUGACCAGUGACGCAACGAUGAAUGAGGAAAAGUCGCCAGCGAGAAUACGACCAGAGAAUCUUGCGUCGGCAACAGAAAAUUCAGAUAUCAACAGUGUGCCCAGCAGUAUUUUCGCAUUAGAUAUGGAUCUUGAUGUUAAUUCGUCCCAGCCAGAUUCGGUUUUGACGAAUCCCAAUUCCACCGAAGAAACAAAAUCUGAAUACUCGAAUGCGGAAGUUAUCCUCCAGACGGCCUCAACAGUUUCAGAUGAAGAGGGUGGCACUGUUGUUCAAGGAAGUGUUCAAGAUUCAAGUAGUCAUGUUUGCGGUGCUGUUCUAACCGUUGAGCCCAAUCAGGAACUUCGUAAUGAAUUGCUGGCAGUGGAAACCAAUUGCGAAUCCGAACUACCUUUUGCCAACAGGGAAAACCAAGGAGAAUCUCCUAGAGUAAAAAUGGAUGCCCCGGUUAAAAAUCAUGAAAAAGAAAUUUUUGGGCAAGUGGAUGAAUCAAAAGAAAGUGGAAAUAAGUCAGUUACAAGAAAAUCACUACAAGAGUCUGCUUCAGAAAGAGGGGAAUCAAAUAUCAACAAUGUCGCCAGAAGUAUUUGCGGGCUAGAAGUGAAUGUUGAUGUUAGUUCGUCUGAACCAAGUUCGGAUGUGACGAAGUCCAUCGAUGAAGCAAAAUCUGAAUUCUCUUGUACAGAGGUCGUUCAGCCAUCUGCCGUCUGUUUAGAUGAAGAGCCCAGUACUGUUCGAGGAAUCGUUAAUGCUCAAGAUUCAUUAAUCAAUGCUGAAGCGAAUCAAGAUCUUCCAAAUGAAGUACAGGAGAUGGAAGCAGAACGCGAAUCCGAACUGCUUGUUGUCAAUGAGGAAAUCUUGGAAGAACAUAGUCGUAUGAAAGUGGGCAGUCCGUCUAAAAGGUCUGAAGAGCCAAAAUCUCCGAAGAUUAUUGAAUCGACGGAAAGUGAAGAAAAGUCAUUAACCACGAAAUCACCACAAGCUCCUGCGUCGGAAACUGGGGAUUCAGAUACCAAUGAUGCCCCUAGCAGUAUUUUCGCGUUGGAUAUAGAUCUUGAUAUUAGUUCAUCCAAGCCAGAUUCGGAUGUAAAGAAGUCUAACGAAGAAACAAAAUCUGAAUCCUUGAAUGCGGAAGCUACCAUUCCAACACCAGUCCCUUUGGAUGAAGAGCCUACUACUCCAGGAAGUGUAAAUAUUCAAGGUUCAAAAAGUCAACCUGUUGAAGAAACGAAAUCCGAAUUACCGAAUAGGGAGGUUGUCCUUGUGGCGCCCUCCUCUUUGGACCCUGUACAUAGCAAUUUCGUUCCAGAAAGCGUCAAAGUUCAAGAAACAAACACUGGUCAGGGUGGCACCAUUGUUUCAAGCGUUGGAGCAGAUAAAGAACUUCAUAAUGAAGUACCAUCUGAGGGAACCAACGGGGAAUCAAGAAUCCUACCUUUUUGCAGUGGCGAUAACUUGGAAGAAUCUCCAAAUGCGAGAAUAGACAUCAUUGCUGUAAAGGAAAAAGAACAAAUUACUGAUCAAAUGGCUGGAUUGGCGGAAAAUGAAGCAGAUCCUGUAACAAUAGGAUCGCCAAGGAGUCCUGCACCGGGAACCGACGAAUCAGACGCUAACAAUGUGCACUGCAGCAUUUUCGGAUUGGAUGCUGAUCUUGAUAUUAGUUCUUCUGAACCAGAAUCGGAUGCGACGAACUCCCUGGAAGAAAAGAAAUCAAAUAUUUCGAAUAGAGAAGUCACCCAUCAGCGACCUUUAUCUUUGGAAGAAACGCCGAACACUGACAUCACAGAAAGUGUAGAUAUCCAAGGUACAGGCAGUCAUCAUGGUUGUAACACCGUUUCAAACGUUGAAGCAAAGAAAGAUCUUCCUAAUCAGUUGGAAAAAGCGGAUUGCAUAACCGAACCGCCUGCAAAAAUUGGAACAAUUUUCGAAGAAUCUCCAUUUACGAAAAUCGACAUUCCAUCCGAAAGGCAUGAAGAACCAAGUUCUCAACUGAUUUGUACAUCGACAGAAGGUGUUGAAAAGCCAGUUACCAAAAUAUUGCAACAGUAUCCUGCAUCGGGCGCUCGAGAAUCGGAUGUCAACAGUGUGCGUUGCAGCGUUUCCGCAUUUGAUGUGGUUAUCGAUAUUAGUUCAUCCGAGCCAGAAUCGGAUGAGGCGAAGCUCAUUGAAGGAAGAAAAUCCGAAUUGGGUAAUACAGAAAUUGGCAGUCAGGUGCCCCUCUCAUUUGAUGAAGACCAUAGCACCGUUGUUCCAGAAAAGAUAAAUAUUCAAGAUUCUAGAAGUCCGCAUUGUGGCGCUGUUUCAGACGUUGGAAUAGAUCAAGAACAUCGUAGUAAAUUACCUCUGGCGGAAGGUAAUCGUGAAAUGAGUGAAGUAACGGAGGAGGUUUUUGCAACUGUGAUAACUCAAAAAGCUCGUGUACUCUGUGCUGAUGAAUCUUUAAGCAAAAAAACAACAGAAGACGAGUUUGACAAUGAAGCUCAGGCUACGUCAAACGUGAUGGAUGCUCAAAAAUUGUCUGCCUUCCAUGCCAUUCCUGCGAGACAAACAACUGUCGCCAGCAACCCACUAAAUCCAAGCAGCCGAAUGUUACCGGAUCAAGUUUUGCCAAGCAACCUUUCCGCAAUGUCAGAACAAAAACUUGAAGCUGGUGGGUCACGUCAGCUUGAUAACAUCAAACCUACAGAUAUCCAUUCGCCCUGUCGCUUUCCUGUAGCAGAUAAGAGAGAUGGUAAUCCUGCCCAAAAAGAUGCACAUCUUUCACCUGUCCAUCGUCAAGGUUCUGUUCAAGAAUCGCUUGUUUCUUCAAGGAUCAACAGAAACGUGCCAGAAUCUGCCACGGUUCCUCAAAAUCCCCAAAUUCUAAAAGCUGUGCGUACGUCAGCCUUCAAAGUUCCCCGAGUACCAGAUACUCCAAUAAAAGCUCCCGACGUAUUUCCGAUUAAUGUUACCGAAAAUUACCCGUGGGGCAGAGGUUCCACUCAAGCAGUCAAAAGAACGGCAGCUGAUGAUGAGGUAGCCGUUAUCUUGAAGCAAAUUCGUACCAAUAUUAUCGAUAUGCCCGCAACCGUUUCACCUCUACCCAAAUCACCAGAGCCGCAGCCUGCCAUUUCUGUGAAAAUUGAGGAACCUAAAUCUCGGUUCCCGAUUUUACCGCGUUGCGCUUUUAACUGGACGUGCAAAAAACUCCCUCUCAACGACCAAUUAACAGAAAGAUUCGGUGCCUACCUCCAUCCGGGUGUAAAGGCUCGCGUUCGUUUCAGGAGAGUCAGUCGGCGUUUACUGGAUAUCCGAUCUCCAGAUAUAUUGAGCAAUGGUUUCCAGGGCGUGACAAAUUUCGCCGAAGCUGAAAGAAGACCUAAGCCGAUUGUGACACUUGUUCAGUUUGUUGGAGACAUUACUGAUCUCACUGGAUACGAAAAUGACGCAACCGAACUAACUGAAAAAUCCCUCGUGUCGGUCCAAGAUCAAAAUAAUUUACCUGAGAAAAGGUCAUCUGCCUCGUUUUCAACCAAGGAAGUUGAAGAAGUCACCUUUCCAAAAUCAAAUUCAACUUCAUCGACUAAAAAGAGAAGAAAAGUACAGGCACUUGUAAGGCGACCAAAAACAACGACACCAGCACUUUUUGGAUCCUCUUCCAGCGAAUCGGAGAGCGAAUCGAAUGUCGUUCCCCAACCCUUCGAAGAACAAGCAGUAAGGAGUUCAACUGUAAGAAAUCUGAAUGAAAACGAACCAGCAAGAGUGCCAACUAAAGAAAGCAAACAAACGCCAUCGCUCGUUACCACUUCCAGAGCUCAAACAAUGGCACAACUUAUCGAGCCCAUCGUCCCGCUGGGUAGGGGUAACAGGCCUGGUUUUCUGCCCAUCAAACCAAAUGAAGGUCAACGGGAAGCUGAUUCAAUGUUUAACCAAAGUCGACUCGCGUUAGGCUUAGGGAGAGGAGCCAAAAUCUCUCAGCAUACAAUUGCGCCAUGCUCCGAUGUCCUCUUGUCUGCAACGAUCAAGUCCAGAACUGUGACUAGGGUUGUUGCCCCAUCAAAGCACAUUUUUAAAGAACUUCACGUGCCCAGGGAGCCUGUACUAACGAACCCCAUACUACCAGACAGCUCUGCUGCUCAAGAGGAAAGUCUGGCCAGAAAAAGAGUCUCUCACGCCUUCAAAAGAGGGGUGGAAUCCGACCCUGUCGUCCCUACAGUUUCACCAUCUUCCAAACGAGGUCGAAUUCUACAAGAAGGACUACCAAAAGUUUCAUCGCAAACUGCUCAAUCAAAGGCUCCUUCCGAAACCCGAUGUGAAGAAGUUUCUGUUAGCGCAAGAACAAGGCAAAAGAGUGAAAGUACCUUAGCAAUCAAGCCUCAAGACAUGGUUAAAUUGGGUGUAAAAACUCCAACGUCGUCGGGGAGUCAGAAGUCGCAACAGGAAAUAAUUCAACUGAAAAAUUUUAGGCGCAUUAAAGAAACUGUUAUAGAGAAGGCGAAUAGUGAAACUGACACCGACUCAGAAAAUGGGUUACCAAUGGAAGUAAACUCGGGUAGGACUAGCCAGGCCUCUUGGCCAGAAAGAGAAAUGACAGUUACAAUACCAAGUAUUGCGGAAAAAAGUAUCCUAACUGAAAGCGCAAGAACCGAUCAUCAGUUAUUGGAGAAUUCUGGAAUGACGAUCGUAGACGGAAGUCCUCGGGCGCCUGACGAAGACGAAAGUCCUCGGUCGCCUGACGAAGAUCAAAGUCCUCGGUCGCCUGACGAAGACGAAAGUCCUCGGUCGCCUGACGAAGAAGAAAGGCCCCUGCCGCCUGACGCAAAAGAAAGGUCGCCUGAUGUGGAAGAAAGUCCCCGCUCGCCUGAUGUAGAAGAAAGUCCUCGCUCGCCUGAUGUAGAAGAAAGUCCUCGCUCGCCUGAUGUAGAAGUAAGCCAGAAGAUACGCGGUGUUGAAGAAAGUUCCAAAUCUCGAGAGGAUCAGCCAUUACAGUCGUUCGACAAAACUGGAAGAUUGGGAUCGACUGUGGAAAUUCCUCUGGUGAGUUCUACUGAGCUCGAAGAACACCGACCAACUGCUUUUGAACUUGUUUUCAAAGAACUGCUGCAAGAAAGUCCUCCUGUCAACCAAAAAGCCAGCAAAUUGAAAAAAGAUAUCAAUCUGUGUGUCAACAGGGUUUUUAAGAAUCCUGAUGUUACUGAAGAAUCGUGGAAAAGUUUAAUCGAAAGGGCCAUGCGUGUCGAUUCGAAAAGCCACCCUUUCAUUUUUAUUCGGAAACUGGUAGCGACGGUUAUAAAAGACUGGGAUAGUCCAAUGGAUUUAUCGAAAACACCACCUGCUCCGCCGAUGGCAGCGGUUCAUCAGCGAUGUGUCAUGAUACUUAAAGAAUUGGAUGAAGCAAAUUCAGAGUUGACUGUAGAGCCUGGUGACAACCUCCACAUGUAUAGCAACUUAUUUCUUAGCGAAUGCAGUGCCGUUAUGUUUCAGCAAGAUUCUAGCCUGACGUUGGAAGAGAUGUGUUCUCUAGCGCGCGCGUAUACGGCUGUCUGUCGAUCUCGUAGUACUUUAGCUAGAGCGAGAACCUUUUUAUUUGAUUGCGUCUAUUUCCUGCCACCACGCUCAUAUGCUUUGACGUACACCGUGUUAUCUGUCUGGGCAGAUGUACUUCGUCAUGUCUCAUUUCCGUUGGGUCCUUCUUGUAUUGAUCAAACCAUUGCUUACCUUCUCUUACACAACUGUAAAAUAAAAGCCGUUCCUGGAAUUGUCGGUAAGGUGUUGCAAGCGCGUUCGUUCCUGCAAAACACUUACGGUUACAAAAACGUGACUUCUAGGACCAUUGAUGAUCUCACGAACUACCUCAUGACCCGCUUCAAAGAAACAAACUCGGCAGACGAAGCAUCGAGUUUAAGUUGGAGUUUUGCAUUACUUACCCGGUGGGAAGGAAUUGAUUUUGCUAUUCAAGUAAUCGAAAAGCAACUCUGGCCUUUUCUUCAACGCUGGAGUUCUGGGGAGGGCACGAAUUCCGGUGCCGCCGCAGUAAUCGUUGCCAUAGGAAUGCUAGGAAAGACGGUGCCAUCUAGCAAACGUGCCGGAGUUCAAAGGAUUCUCAAUGCCAUGAAAGUUCUACUUCAAUCCGAUGAUGUCAUUCCGUCUAUUCAUGAGGCCGCCAUUGAAGCUGUUGUUCUCCUUGGCGAAGAAGAAGAUCCUAAAUCGGUCAUCGAAGUCGUGAAAGCAUGGAAACUUGUGAAUACUAAUUUAAGCCAGCAUUUGCGGCAGGUGCUUAAGGCGUUUUUGAGACGUCAUUCAAGUCUCUGUGUUGCCUAGUCAUUUGAAAGGAAAAAUAUUCAAAGCAUAGCAACAAGAAAGGGAGAAAUGAACCAUUUAAAUCAAAAAUUUGAAGCAAUCAAACCAAAUUCAUCGGUUAUAUGACAGUUCCCUGCCGUCACUCAACAUCGUAGACAGGGUGUUUUGCUCAUGAUUUAACUUUGAAGUCCCAUAUACUGAAUGCUCCUGUGUAAUUCUUGGUGCUCAUUUAACAGCAAUAUAUCAGGCUACUUCAAAUUAUUAUUACAAGUGUGAACAAGUUACCUUUAAACUACUGGUAAAAGUUAAAAUUGAAAUGUAUGACUCAUGGCUCAACGGUAGAGCAUCGGAAUGGUACGAAGAAGGUUUAGGGUUCGAUUCCCAAAAGAGUCAAGUUACAUUCUAAUGUAAAAUAAUUCUGAUUUACGAGUUACAAAACUCUUAAGUUUAAAAGUCCUAUUCUACGACGGUGCUAUAAGUCGCAUAUACUGGAACAUUACAACUUAGAUGAAGAAUGUAUAGUUGAACACACAUUAUUAAAAUUAAUCCUAUUCAAUUUCUUAUUUGUUACUAACCCCACAAUUAAAAUAAUUCUUAUUUCAGUUUUCGUCUCCAAAGAUUCUGUAUUAGGAUUAUAUGCCUCUACAUGUAAUCCAUCAUGUACACUGGAUUCCACUUCACCUGAAUGGGAUUCGAACCCAAGGUAUAUCGUAUUCCAAUCCACCGCUCUACCAUUGAGCUAUGAGAGUUACUACAUUGAAAUCUAAAUCUAUAGCACAUUAAGGUAACUGUGCAAAGUUCUACAUAGGGGAUCAAAUAUCGUUGGGGGGGAUAUAGGGGGGGUUGCCAGGAAGGUAUCGCAUCCGACUAGCAACUCGAAGGUCCGUGGUUCGAUUCCACGUAGGUUCCUGAUGUCCUGGGCUUCCAACCUUCCCAGGGGUCUACCUUCCCAGGUGCCAGUCGGGU